AUUGAACGCUGGCGGCAUGCCUUACACAUGCAAGUCGAACGGCAGCGCGGACUUCGGUCUGGCGGCGAGUGGCGAACGGGUGAGUAAUACAUCGGAACGUACCUGUUGUGGGGAUAACUAGUCGAAAGAUUAGCUAAUACCGCAUACGACCUGAGGGUGAAAGUGGGGACCGCAAGGCCUCACGCAGCAGGAGCGGCCGAUGUCUGAUUAGCUAGUUGGUGGGGUAAAGGCCCACCAAAGGCGACGAUCAGUAGCUGGUCUGAGAGGACGAUCAGCCACACUGGGACUGAGACACGGCCCAAGACUCCUACGGGAGGCAGCAGUGGGAAUUUGGACAAUGGGGGCAACCUGAUCCAGCAAUGCCGCGUUGUGUGAAAG
rnacentral:rRNA from 1 species